AACGAACGCUGGCGGCAUGCCUAACACAUGCAAGUCGAACGAGACCUUCGGGUCUAGUGGCGCACGGGUGCGUAACGCGUGGGAAUCUGCCCUUGGGUUCGGAAUAACAGUUGGAAACGACUGCUAAUACCGGAUGAUGACGUAAGUCCAAAGAUUUAUCGCCCAAGGAUGAGCCCGCGUAGGAUUAGCUAGUUGGUGAGGUAAAGGCUCACCAAGGCGACGAUCCUUAGCUGGUCUGGGAGGAUGAUCAGCCACACUGGGACUGCGACCCGGCCCAGACUCCUACGGGAGGCAGCAGUGGGGAAUAUUGGACAAUGGGCGAAAGCCUGAUCCAGCAAUGCCGCGUGAGUGAUGAAGGCCUUAGGGUUGUAAAGCUCUUUUACCCGGGAUGAUAAUGACAGUACCGGGAGAAUAAGCCCCGGCUAACUCCGUG
rnacentral:rRNA from 1 species